UGCCCCGUCGUCUAACGGCAAGACAGCAGACUCUGGAUCUGUUUAUCGAGGUUCGAAUCCUUGCGGGGCAG
rnacentral:tRNA from 1 species